CAUGCAGUCGAGCGGCAGCGGAAAGUAGCUUGCUACUUUGCCGGCGAGCGGCGGACGGGUGAGUAAUGUCUGGGAAACUGCCUGAUGGAGGGGGAUAACUACUGGAAACGGUGGCUAAUACCGCAUAACGUCGCAAGACCAAAGUGGGGGACCUUCGGGCCUCACGCCAUCGGAUGUGCCCAGAUGGGAUUAGCUAGUAGGUGGGGUAAUGGCUCACCUAGGCGACGAUCCCUAGCUGGUCUGAGAGGAUGACCAGCCACACUGGAACUGAGACACGGUCCAGACUCCUACGGGAGGCAGCAGUGGGGAAUAUUGCACAAUGGGCGCAAGCCUGAUGCAGCCAUGCCGCGUGUGUGAAGAAGGCCUUCGGGUUGUAAAGCACUUUCAGCGAGGAGGAAGGCAUCACACUUAAUACGUGUGGUGAUUGACGUUACUCGCAGAAGAAGCACCGGCUAACUCCGUGCCAGCAGCCGCGGUAAUACGGAGGGUGCAAGCGUUAAUCGGAAUUACUGGGCGUAAAGCGCACGCAGGCGGUUUGUUAAGUCAGAUGUGAAAUC
rnacentral:rRNA from 1 species